rnacentral:rRNA from 1 species
UACGAAGGGGGCGAGCGUUGUUCGGAAUUACUGGGCGUAAAGGGCGCGUAGGCGGCGACCCAAGUCAGAUGUGAAAGUCCUGGGCUUAACCUGGGGACUGCAUUUGAUACUGGGUUGCUUGAAUUCGGGAGAGGAUAGCGGAAUUCCCAGUGUAGAGGUGAAAUUCGUAGAUAUUGGGAAGAACGCCGGUGGCGAAGGCGGCUAUCUGGACCGACAUUGACGCUGAGGCGCGAAAGCGUGGGGAGCAAACAGG